GCGACGGGAGAGUGAAAGACAUAGGACACAAACAGAGGAACCCGCAGGGUUACAUAGGACUGAACCAGAUUCAGCACCUACAGACACAGGGUCACUCUUCCUGGAACGGACUGUGACGGUGGCUGUCUUUGAAAGAGUUGUUCUGACCCAUUGGUGUGACAGCACAGGAAACCUACCAUCAUUUUAAAUAUCCUGUCUGAGUGCCGAAACCAGACUGUUGUGUCUACUCCAGUCAAGAUGCACUUGGUGAGUGUUAAUGUUUGUGUGUGUGUGUGUGUUUGGGAGGUCAGAGAGGCUCCCAGAGCGAUCAUGAUAAAUUAAUUCAGAGGGGAUAGGCCCUUCCAGGGUGGGGGUAGAGGCCGUAAGUUUGAGGGUCCAUACAAAAAAAAAAGACAAGAGUAGUGACACCUCCAUAGACACCAAGUCAGAGAAACAACAAAAAAUUCCAACUCUGGCUGG